rnacentral:rRNA from 1 species
AUGAACGCUAGCUACAGGCUUAACACAUGCACGUCGAGGGGAAACGACAUCGAAAGCUUGCUUUUGAUGGGCGUCGACCGGCGCACGGGUGAGUAACGCGUAUCCAGCCUGCCCAUCACUUGGGAAUAACCUUGCGAAAGUAAGACUAAUACCCAAUGAUAUCCCACGAAGGCAUCGGAAUGGGAUUAAAGAUUUAUCGGUGAUGGAUGGGGAUGCGUCUGAUUAGCUUGUUGGCGGGGUAACGGCCCACCAAGGCAACGAUCAGUAGGGGUUCUGAGAGGAAGGUCCCCCACAUUGGAACUGAGACACGGUCCAAACUCCUACGGGAGGCAGCAGUGAGGAAUAUUGGUCAAUGGGCGAGAGCCUGAACCAGCCAAGUAGCGUGCAGGAAGACGGCCCUAUGGGUUGUAAACUGCUUUUAUAAGGGAAUAAAGUGGGUCACGUGUGACUUUUUGCAUGUACCUUAUGAAUAAGGACCGGCUAAUUCCGUG